rnacentral:rRNA from 1 species
GACGAACGCUGGCGGCGUGCUUAACACAUGCAAGUCGAGCGAUGAAGCUAGAGCUUGCUCUGGUGAAUUAGUGGCGAACGGGUGAGUAACACGUGAGUAACCUGCCCCGGACUCUGGGAUAACUGCUGGAAACGGUAGCUAAUACUGGAUACGACCUACGAAGGCAUCUUCUGUAGGUGGAAAGAAUUUCGGUUCGGGAUGGACUCGCGGCCUAUCGGCUUGUUGGUGAGGUAAUGGCUCACCAAGGCGACGACGGGUAGCCGGCCUGAGAGGGUGACCGGCCACACUGGGACUGAGACACGGCCCAGACUCCUACAGGAGGCAGCAGUGGGGAAUAUUGCACAAUGGGCGCAAGCCUGAUGCAGCAACGCCGCGUGAGGGAUGACGGCCUUCGGGUUGUAAACCUCUUUUAGUAGGGAAGAAGCGAAAGUGACGGUACCUGCAGAAAAAGCACCGGCUAACUACGUGCCAGCCGCCGCCGUAA